GAUGAACGCUGGCGGCGUGCCUAAUACAUGCUAGUCGAGCGAACAGACGAUGAUCUUUUUCCUCUGACGUUAGCGGCGGUCUUGUGAUUAACACGUGGAUAACCUACCUAUAAGACUGGGAUAACUUCGGGAAACCGGAGCUAAUACCGGAUAAUAUAUUGAACCGCAUGGUUCAAUAGUGAAAGACGGUUUUGCUGUCACUUAUAGAUGGAUCCGCGCCGCAUUAGCUAGUUGGUAAGGUAACGGCUUACCAAGGCAACGAUGCGUAGCCGACCUGAGAGGGUGGUCUGCCACACUGGAGCUGAGACACGGUCCAGACUACUAGGUGAGGCAGCAUUAGGGAAUGUUCCGCAAUAGGCGCAUGCUUGACGGAGCAACGCCGCGUGAGUGAUGACGGCCUUCGGUUCGUAAAACUUUGUUAUUAGGGAAGCCCAAAUGUCUACGUAACUAUGCACGUCUUGACGGUACCUUAUCAGAAAACCAUGGCUAACUACGUG
rnacentral:rRNA from 1 species